rnacentral:rRNA from 1 species
GUAGGUGGGCAAGCGUUGUCCGGGAAUUAUUGGGCGUAAAGCGCGCGCAGGGCGGUCCUUUAAGUCUGAUGUGAAAGCCCACGGCUCAACCGUGGAGGGUCAUUGGAAACUGGGGGACUUGAGUACAGAAGAGGAAAGCGGAAUUCCAAGUGUAGCGGUGAAAUGCGUAGAGAUUUGGAGGAACACCAGUGGCGAAGGCGGCUUUCUGGUCUGUAACUGACGCUGAGGCGCGAAAGCGUGGGGAGCAAACAGGAUUAGAUACCCUGGUAGUCCACGCCGUAAACGAUGAGUGCUAAGUGUUAGGGGGUUUCCGCCCCUUAGUGCUGCAGCUAACGCAUUAAGCACUCCGCCUGGGGAGUACGGCCGCAAGGCUG